UACGGGGGGGGCAAGCGUUGUUCGGAAUUAUUGGGCGUAAAGGGUUCGUAGGCGGUCGACUCAGUCAGACGUGAAAUCCCUCGGCUUAACCGGGGACUGCGUCUGAUACUGGUUGGCUUGAGUGCAGGAGAGGAAUGCGGAAUUCCAGGUGUAGCGGUGAAAUGCGUAGAUAUCUGGAGGAACACCGGUGGCGAAGGCGGCAUUCUGGACUGUAACUGACGCUGAGGAACGAAAGCCAGGGGAGCAAACGGG
rnacentral:rRNA from 1 species